CUAAUUGAAGAUGAGGAACUGGUGUCAUAUAUCCUAGCGGGAUUUGAUAUUGAUUUUAAUCAUGUCCUAACUCAGAUUGAACCAAUAUCAGUUGACAAAUUAUUCUUCCAAUUAUUGAGUUUUGAGA
rnacentral:snoRNA from 1 species